rnacentral:ribozyme from 1 species
AACAUUUUCUUCAGGUUUCAGUACCAACGGUUUCAUCCUUGCAUGCACAUUUGGUAUGAUCCUUGGCACUAUUUUCGUACGUGUCCACGCACAAGCAAGGCUGUACGAGUCAGAAUUGCGCGAGUCUCUGAAUAGACCUCA